rnacentral:sRNA from 1 species
GCGUCCGAGGAUGCACGCCGGCCAGCGAGUUUUCGCCCGCCGGCGCGUUUCUG